rnacentral:rRNA from 1 species
GAACCGACCGUGCGAACGUUGUUCGGAAUCACUGGGCUUAAAGGGCGCGUAGGCGGGUUCGCAAGUCAGGGGUGAAAUCUUUCAGCUUAACUGGAAAACAGCCCCUGAUACUGCGAGUCUCGAGGGAGGUAGGGCAUGUGGAACUUCCGGUGGAGCGGUGAAAUGCGUAGAUAUCAAGAGGAACACCUGAGGUGAAGACGGGUUGCUGGGCUGACACUGACGCUGAGGCGCGAAAGCCAGGGGAGCAAACGGG